AUGACGGUAAAGUUAACAAUAAAUUCAAUAGGUUUUUGUUAGCUGCAACCGAAUACUUUGACUAUUUAUAAAAUAUUUUUGCUUCUUGUUUUUAUUUCCAAAGACAAUUUUGACAUAAGAUUUUGAACAAAGAAGUGGCAGAGUGUGUACCUUACCAAUAAUCGAUAUGAGAAGUUCAACAAGGAUUUUUUGGUAUUACUUUCAUAAUAUCAGUAAUACCUUGUCUCUUUUCAAAUGGACAUGGAAUGAAAUCUAUCAGUUCCAGACAUAUAGAAGAGAAAGACGAUACUACAGCAGAUAUUUACAACGUUGCUCCUUCUUCAAGAUAUGAAACCAAAAUAAGUAGCGAUGCAAAUCCAAAAGUGGAUUUUGAUAACGCGAAUACUACCGUAACACCAUCUACUGAUGUUAGAGAUAAAUGUGAAGUGGUAAUCAAUGAUACAAGUAAAGACAUAUUUCAACAGAUACUUAAACAUCAUGAUCCUGACUUUGUACAGUUUCAUAUUAGAUUUUCAAAACCAGUUGCCAAGACUAAAUACGUAUUCCAGCCUAGUAGAUGGUACUGGGCCUACAGAAAAAUGUCUAAGUACCAGUUUCUGUCCUGGAAUCUCCACUAUGGUUUAGCUUCGUUUGGAUUGUUAGAUUAUAAAACGUCUCUUGUUCCAUUUGUCAAAUUGAAUUUAUACGGAUACUGUAAUUUAACUCUAGGAAUGGAGGACACGUCAGAGCUCAUCACAAAUGCAUUGGUUCAAGCUGUCAACUUUACAAGCGAUGAACUAACUGCGACCCAAGUACACGGAUAACUACUUUUGUUACCUUGCAGUAAGAGAAGAUCUCCGAGAUACCAUCAAUUAUCCUCGCAGCUGUUUACUUCCGUUAUCCUAUUAUAUUUAUUAACUAUAAGUGUUGCCUCUUAAAGUAUAAUUUCACUGACGAGCAAUUUAGUAACGACUGCUCUCAAAAGGUUUCUCAUAUGAUUAAAUGGACAAGUGUGAUCAAAUUCAACAUAAUUCUUGGACUUUUGAUAAUUGCAUAUUGCCCGAUACUACUUUUUCAGUUAUUUGCUUGGCUAGGAGUAAACGACAAAAUUGACAAUGACGAAUAUAGUGUGGAAUUAAUACAGGAUGUAUCUGGAUCACGACUGAAGAUAAUGAUAAUAAAGAUUGGAUCUUUGCUAACGGAAAGUCUCCACUGACCUUCUUUGAUGUUGUAAGUUUCAAGGGCAUUGGAGUUGACAAACGGUGGCCUGUGUUGGUGUCGAGAUUGCGGAGGUUUAUAUGUCUUCUCUUGGCACCUUCUGUAAUAUACAUAGAAAUGUUCAUGUUUAGCCGCGGAAUUGGUGUAUGGAACCAAGGGGAUAAGAUAACUGUCAAAGAUUUUGUAGACGUUGGUGAUCCUGUUGGUUUCCGGUCAUUUUUGGGUAAUUCGAGUAACAGAAGUGACGUAUUCGCUCCUGCUUUCGGCGGGCCUAUUGGCAUUUCAGUUCUUUACUUCGUACUCGGCUUCAUUUACAUUGUUCUUCCAAAAUGUCUGAAACAGAUUGUAGAGAAUGGUUUGCCUAAUUCGGAUGUACUGACAGCCGAGGGAAGAAUGCCCAGUCAAAGUGUAAUAAAAUCACCCCUAUUUUUGGGGACAAAAGAUAUUAUAAAAUUGUCGCAGAUUAAUGUAAAUAACGCUGAUUUGGAGCCAUGGAUAUUCAAAAGGUGUACUGUUGAUGAGGAAUAACUUCUACAUUUUAUUCACAAUACAGUUCUGGCAUCAGGUCUUUCAUAUUCAAACUUACAGAGUGCGUUGCUUCACAGAACACAAGUCGUUCUCAAUGUGUUUAUUAAGAGGGUUUUGUUUACCUGUGUACGUAGUAAUCUGUUCAUUUGAAAUUCUGCUUUGCAUUCUUUAUUUUGGAAUUCCUUUGAUCUUUUUCAUGGUUGUUAAUGAUUAGAGGAGCAAUGACAAUGAUAUCCUCUCUGAGAGAAAAUAAUACAUUAUUCUCCUAUCCUAUUCAGUGUUCGUUUCAUAAGGGGACUCGGUGCUGUUGUUGUAUUUUUAACUAUUUUGUUAUUCACCUACUGUGUUUACUUGCUGACUGUUGACAGUUUAACGUUCAUCAGUCAUGUUAUGACAUAUUGUUUUGUUGCUGUGAUAAUCUAUCCCUCAGUUUCAGUUUGGAAGUCUUUUUCUUGUUCUCGUUAUUCGUAUAUUACAUCAUACGCCAACUCAAACACUUCCGUUAUAAUUAUACGAAGCUACUUAACACCGCCGUAGAAAUAUCAGAACGUAUCAAUGUAUCGCUAAACCACGUGACUUGUUCCAACGGUCAUUUGCUUAUAUCAAAUGUAGUGUCUGAAAACCUCAGAGAAAUUGAAAUUAAUGGCCGAAUGUUAAAUGUUUCUCAAAAUAUCCUCUCUAACAUAAAUACUGUGACUGGUCUAAAAAUGAGAAUGAAAGACGACUGUUAUGGUAUACCAAAAGAUCUAUUUGACUCGCUCAUUCAGAAAUAUCGACCUGUUCACAUCCAUGUUCUUUCACUGCUUCUUCGCGUAUUCAUUUUGAUAGGUUGUGUUCUCCUCUUUCUAAGUAUAACAAAUAAAUACCUCGAAGUCCCUGAAGGCCAGAUUUCGGAAGUGAUGCAUGUCGUCUUUAUAAUAGCUGUUGGUGCUCUUCCUAAGCUUUUAGAAACCAACUUUAUAAGUCAGAAUAAUGCCCCGAUAGAAAAGAUAGAGAAAAAGUAUAUAGAGCAGUCAAUUGUUGAGUACUGGACUCAAGGAGACAGGUCAAUAACAAACAGAUCAAAUUAAUCAGUUAAAAAUGUAAUGAAAAGGACAUUCUAAUAUGCUUUUUUCUAUUACAAUUCUCUUCCGCUACAAUGACGUCACGUUAAUGUGUGGUGACGUCAAUGUUUUUGUUGCGACCAAGAAAGGAGCGCUACUGUGUUUUAUCUUCUGUUUUAGAUUAAGGGCAUAUUAGAAUCGAUACCAUGGACGUCAUGACGUUACGUGUAAGUUACUGCGCCCUCGUGAAAUUAUUUCGCCCGACGUAUAACCGUUCAUCGUGCAUAAAUUGUUAAAACACUCUUUUGAUAUAAAUUAUUUGUUAAUUAGACUUUAACGUGUUGUUCUUCAUAUGAUAAAAGAUAGACAUUUGAUUACGUUUCGUGUUUGAAUCAAGUUUAUCAUUUAUAUUUUGUAUUUUGCCUGAUUUUGUUGUUUUAGAAAAAAUAUUUCCAAGAGUAAAUGUUGUUCAUUUAAGGUUUAAAUCGAGGUAAAAACUGUAGUUUGUGGUACUUAGUGCGUUCAGGCUUCUUCUUUAAGUACUUUAAACAGAAAAAAAAAUAAUUGAAAAGAGAUUUUACACUUUCAUAUGUGCAUUUGUUUUUGUAAAUCCCUAAGUGUAACAAUAAUUUGUGGAAUGUAACAUUCUUCAUAUGAGGAAGCCAUCCAGCUAGCUUGAGUCUUCUCCGAUCGUCAGAAUCUGGGAAAGUCGCCAUAAGCCCUACAUUUGGUGCCUCUAACCCAACACGAAACGAAAUAACAACAAUCUGCAAGGGAAAUCAAAACUUAAGACAUCUUGUUUUAAAGACAUUAUCAUACUGUGAAAUAAUAAACCUUCUACCUGCUUUGUUUAUCUUAUGUUUUCUUGUUUUAAUGAUACUAUUCCAUAAAAUGCUAAAAUACAUUAAACUAACUUA
rnacentral:lncRNA from 1 species